AGCAAGGGCUGUUGCUGUCGCUAGGGAUGACUGAUGAGCAUGGUGAGUGGGGCCCACCCAUUGACCUACUGUAAUUCAAUUCCGUACAAACAAUUCAAAUGCAUAUGUACUGAUUGGAACAUAUCAAGCGGAAUGUGAAGUUGAUGGAGGCAAUCCACGGUUCCACACUCCCAAGGGUAAUUAAAUGCUACUGUUGAGAACGGUGAAUCGUAUUUAGUGUUCUGCUGCACAUUUCAGCAGACAACUACACAUAGAUGGGCAACAGCAGCAUAUAUUGCUGGGGGGAAGCAGUCAAGCAGAUCUUACCUGUUAUCAUUUAAUCUCUACUGACGCUGCCACUGCUCUGCAUUUACCCUAGAGCCGGCGUUGCUCAUGUGAAAGUGUCAGGUUUUCUGCUACUUGGUGUUUGCCCUCUUAGGAUAAAUAAUUUAGUAUUAAUCUAUAUCUGAAGUCUUCAUCAUGAUUGAGCCCCAAGUCUCUGUCAUGUGUAUGAUUGUUCGUGUAAAUUAAUGCUCGUCAUUCUGCACUUCGGCAGUAAACAAAAAAGAUUAAAUUACAUGUGUAAACUCUCCUGGUUGGUCACUCUCAGGCAGAAGAGAACAAUCAUAACCACUUAAGAAUACUGAUACGCGAGAUAGCAUCCAUAUCUGUGCAAUGCAUUGCUAACCUUG